rnacentral:rRNA from 1 species
UACAGAGGGUGCGAGCGUUAAUCGGAAUUACUGGGCGUAAAGCGUGCGUAGACGGUUAUUUAAGUCGGGUGUGAAAGCCCCGGGCUCAACCUGGGAAUUGCAUUCGAGACUGAAUAGCUAGGGUACGGUAGAGGGAAGCGGAAUUUCCGGUGUAGCGGUGAAAUGCGUAGAUAUAGGAAGGAACACCAGUGGCGAAGGCGACCACCUGGACUGAUACUGACACUGAGGUGCGAAAGCGUGGGGAGCAAACAGG